rnacentral:rRNA from 1 species
GAUGAACGCUGGCGGCGUGCCUAAUACAUGCAAGUCGAGCGAACGGACGAGAAGCUUGCUUCUCUGAUGUUAGCGGCGGACGGGUGAGUAACACGUGGAUAACCUACCUAUAAGACUGGGAUAACUUCGGGAAACCGGAGCUAAUACCGGAUAAUAUUUUGAACCGCAUGGUUCAAAAGUGAAAGACGGUCUUGCUGUCACUUAUAGAUGGAUCCGCGCUGCAUUAGCUAGUUGGUAAGGUAACGGCUUACCAAGGCAACGAUGCAUAGCCGACCUGAGAGGGGGAUCGGCCACACUGGAACUGAGACACGGUCCAGACUCCGACGGGAGGAAGAAGUCGGGAAUAUUGGAGAAGGGGCGAAAGCCUGAAGGAGCAAUGCCGCGUGAGUGAAGAAGGUCUUAGGAUUGUAAAACUCUUUAAGUGGGGAAGAAGAGAAGUAAAAGUAAACAUGGACGUCUGGAGGGGAACAAAUAAGAAAGACACGGCUAACUACGUG